GAUGAACGCUGGCGGCGUGCUUAAUACAUGCAAGUCGAACGGAGACUGUAGCAAUACUGUCUUAGUGGCGAACGGGUGAGUAACGCGUUGGUGACCUGCCCCGAAGAGGGGGAUAACAGUCCGAAAGGAUUGCUAAUACCCCAUGUGGUCGUUUGGAUUAGAUGCCUUAUGACUAAACGGAUUUAUUCGCCUCGGGAGGGGCCUGCGUCCCAUCAGCUAGUUGGUGAGGUAAUAGCUUACCAAGGCGAUGACGGGUAGGGGACCUGAGAGGGUGGCCCCCCACAAUGGAACUGAAACACGGUCCAUACACCUACGGGUGGCAGCAGUAGGGAAUAUUGGUAAUCUGGGAAACCGGGAACCAGCAACGCCGCGUGCGCGAUGACGGCCUUCGGGUUGUAAAGCGCUUUUUAAAGGGAUGAGGAAGGACAGUACCUUUAGAAUAAGCCUCGGCUAACUACGUGCCAGCAGCCGCAGUAAAAC
rnacentral:rRNA from 1 species